UUUUCGGCGACUGGUUGGCCGAGCGCGUCCGGAGUAGUGUUGGUUAGAGCUCGUAGUUGGAUUUCAGAGGGUCUUGUAUGUGGUCCGCCCCUAUCGGGGAGCGCGUCACUGGCCUCCUAUGUUCGUAACGGUCCUCAUCCGCGCAGGGGGGCGGAAUCAACCGCUAGGAUCGUUUACUUUGAGGAAAUUAUGAGUGUUCAAAGCAUGAGUAACUCGCCUCCGAAAUACGAUUAGCAUGCGAUAAUGGAAUACGACUUCGGCCUUGUUUCGUUGGUUUCGCUUGGCUGAAGUAAUGAUUGAUAUGGACAGUUGGGGGGAUUAGUAUUUAGUUGUCAGAGGUGAAAUUCAUCGGAUUUACUAACCGACUGACCAGUGUCGUAAAGUUAUUUUACCAAGGGAUGUUGUCAUAUAGAUCAAGAACGUAAAGUAGGGGGUAUCGAAGACGUAUCAGUAUACCGCUCGUAACUCUCUAACCGAUAAACUGAUGCCCGACCAGGGGCAUCCGGAAGAGAUUUGCUAUGGGAUGAACUCCACCGGCGCACCAUUGCUGAGAAAAUACAUAAGGUGUUUUGGGUAUUUGGAGGGGUAGUCAUGAGUUCGCAAGGGCCUGGAAUACUUCAAAGGUAAUGUGAACGCGACAGGGUCACCAUCCAAGGGAGAUGGCAACUCUGUCGGCCUGUAAGUUUUGCACCUCAAACCAUCGGCGGGAAUACAUUAACGCAGUGUACAGGGAACAUCUGGUAGAGCGCAUUUGGACCAGCAUUUGCAAAAGGCUUCUGUUCUUUGAAUUUCCAUAUGGGGAUGCGUUGGCUGACAAUGGGCCCGCUUACUUUAAGCUUUGUGUUGGGAAGUGGAAUUUUGAUCUUGGGAAUAAAUAUCCCCGUAUUAGGCGAAAACUGGAGAAACUCUUUUAACGGUAGAAACCUUGGAACCAAAAAUUCCACCUUCCCCAACCCAAAACUUAAAGAAAAACGGGGCCCAUUGGCAACCCAACCCACCCCCCUGGGAAAAAUUCCAGGAAAAAAAAGGAAGACCUUUUUUCCAAAAUUCCGGGGUUCCAAAUUCCCCCACAAAGGGAGGUUCCCGGAACCCCCCCCUCAAAAAAGGAAUUUUUCCCCCCCGCCUUUUGGGAAGGGUUCC
rnacentral:rRNA from 1 species